CUUGCGUGCUCUCACUGUGAAAAUCACAGUGAGAAUCACGCAAGCGCCUCUAGCGUCUGUCAAUGAGACAGCCACUAGAGGAUUUGGGGGAAGGCUUAACCCAUUCAUAAACAUAGCAGUUUCUCUGAAUGGGUUAACCUUAGAUGGACCUGGCACCCAGACCACUUCAUUAAGCUGAAGUGGUCUAGGUGCCUAGAGUGGUCCUUUAAGUAUGUAGAGAUACAAAUCUUGAAUAAUCUGUAAAACAAAAUUGAAUAUACACAAAAUAGCGUAGUAUGUCUAUACAGUGAUAUAAAGUAAGAAGAAAAAUAAUUCCACUCACAAGACCAGAGUCAUAUCAUCAUAUGACUCUAAGGGUAUGCUUCUUUGGACUAUUUGGGGGUUGUCCUGACCCUUUUGUUGCCGGAUUCUUUAGUGUUUCCCCUUGUGUUUCUUUAAUAGGUCUUCCCAAGGAAUAUCAGAUAUUCAGAUGGUC